GGUUAAGUUAGAAAGGGCGCACGGUGGAUGCCUUGGCACUAGGAGCCGAUGAAGGACGGGACGAACACCGAUAUGCUUCGGGGAGCUGUAAGCAAGCUUUGAUCCGGAGAUUUCCGAAUGGGGAAACCCACCACUCGUAAUGGAGUGGUAUCCAUAUCUGAAUUCAUAGGAUAUGAGAAGGCAGACCCGGGGAACUGAAACAUCUAAGUACCCGGAGGAAGAGAAAGCAAAUGCGAUUCCCUGAGUAGCGGCGAGCGAAACGGGAUUAGCCCAAACCAAGAGGCUUGCCUCUUGGGGUUGUAGGACACUCUGUACGGAGUUACAAAAGAACGAGGUAGAUGAAGAGGUCUGGAAAGGCCCGCCAUAGGAGGUAACAGCCCUGUAGUCAAAACUUCGUUCUCUCCUGAGUGGAUCCUGAGUACGGCGGAACACGUGAAAUUCCGUCGGAAUCCGGGAGGACCAUCUCCCAAGGCUAAAUACUCCCUAGUGACCGAUAGUGAACCAGUACCGUGAGGGAAAGGUGAAAAGCACCCCGGAAGGGGAGUGAAAGAGAUCCUGAAACCGUGUGCCUACAAGUAGUCAGAGCCCGUUAACGGGUGAUGGCGUGCCUUUUGUAGAAUGAACCGGCGAGUUACGAUCCCGUGCAAGGUUAAGCAGAAGAUGCGGAGCCGCAGCGAAAGCGAGUCUGAAUAGGGCGCAUGAGUACGUGGUCGUAGACCCGAAACCAGGUGAUCUACCCAUGUCCAGGGUGAAGUUCAGGUAACACUGAAUGGAGGCCCGAACCCACGCACGUUGAAAAGUGCGGGGAUGAGGUGUGGGUAGGGGUGAAAUGCCAAUCGAACCUGGAGAUAGCUGGUUCUCUCCGAAAUAGCUUUAGGGCUAGCCUCAAGGUAAGAGUCUUGGAGGUAGAGCACUGAUUGGACUAGGGGCCCCUACCGGGUUACCGAAUUCAGUCAAACUCCGAAUGCCAAUGACUUAUCCUUGGGAGUCAGACUGCGAGUGAUAAGAUCCGUAGUCGAAAGGGAAACAGCCCAGACCGCCAGCUAAGGUCCCAAAGUAUACGUUAAGUGGAAAAGGAUGUGGAGUUGCUUAGACAACCAGGAUGUUGGCUUAGAAGCAGCCACCAUUUAAAGAGUGCGUAAUAGCUCACUGGUCGAGUGACUCUGCGCCGAAAAUGUACCGGGGCUAAACGUAUCACCGAAGCUGCGGACUGUUCUUCGAACAGUGGUAGGAGAGCGUUCUAAGGGCUGUGAAGCCAGACCGGAAGGACUGGUGGAGCGCUUAGAAGUGAGAAUGCCGGUAUGAGUAGCGAAAGAGGGGUGAGAAUCCCCUCCACCGAAUGCCUAAGGUUUCCUGAGGAAGGCUCGUCCGCUCAGGGUUAGUCGGGACCUAAGCCGAGGCCGAAAGGCGUAGGCGAUGGACAACAGGUUGAUAUUCCUGUACCACCUCCUCACCAUUUGAGNNNNNNNNNNNNNNNNNNNNNNNNNNNNNNNNAAGGCUGAGCUGUGAUGGCGAGCGAAAUAUAGUAGCGAAGUUCCUGAUUCCACACUGCCAAGAAAAGCCUCUAGCGAGGUGAGAGGUGCCCGUACCGCAAACCGACACAGGUAGGCGAGGAGAGAAUCCUAAGGUGAUCGAGAGAACUCUCGUUAAGGAACUCGGCAAAAUGACCCCGUAACUUCGGGAGAAGGGGUGCUCUGUUAGGGUGCAAGCCCGAGAGAGCCGCAGUGAAUAGGCCCAGGCGACUGUUUAGCAAAAACACAGGUCUCUGCGAAGCCGUAAGGCGAAGUAUAGGGGCUGACGCCUGCCCGGUGCUGGAAGGUUAAGAGGAGCGCUUAGCGUAAGCGAAGGUGCGAAUUGAAGCCCCAGUAAACGGCGGCCGUAACUAUAACGGUCCUAAGGUAGCGAAAUUCCUUGUCGGGUAAGUUCCGACCCGCACGAAAGGCGCAACGAUCUGGGCACUGUCUCAACGAGAGACUCGGUGAAAUUAUAGUACCUGUGAAGAUGCAGGUUACCCGCGACAGGACGGAAAGACCCCGUGGAGCUUUACUGCAGCCUGAUAUUGAAUGUUGGUACAGCUUGUACAGGAUAGGUAGGAGCCUUGGAAACCGGAGCGCCAGCUUCGGUGGAGGCAUCGGUGGGAUACUACCCUGGCUGUAUUGACCUUCUAACCCGCCGCCCUUAUCGGGCGGGGAGACAGUGUCAGGUGGGCAGUUUGACUGGGGCGGUCGCCUCCUAAAAGGUAACGGAGGCGCCCAAAGGUUCCCUCAGAAUGGUUGGAAAUCAUUCGCAGAGUGUAAAGGCACAAGGGAGCUUGACUGCGAGACCUACAAGUCGAGCAGGGACGAAAGUCGGGCUUAGUGAUCCGGUGGUUCCGCAUGGAAGGGCCAUCGCUCAACGGAUAAAAGCUACCCCGGGGAUAACAGGCUUAUCUCCCCCAAGAGUCCACAUCGACGGGGAGGUUUGGCACCUCGAUGUCGGCUCAUCGCAUCCUGGGGCUGUAGUCGGUCCCAAGGGUUGGGCUGUUCGCCCAUUAAAGCGGUACGCGAGCUGGGUUCAGAACGUCGUGAGACAGUUCGGUCCCUAUCCGUCGCGGGCGCAGGAAAUUUGAGAGGAGCUGUCCUUAGUACGAGAGGACCGGGAUGGACGCACCGCUGGUGUACCAGUUGUUCUGCCAAGGGCAUCGCUGGGUAGCUAUGUGCGGACGGGAUAAGUGCUGAAAGCAUCUAAGCAUGAAGCCCCCCUCAAGAUGAGAUUUCCCAUUCCGCAAGGAAGUAAGAUCCCUGAAAGAUGAUCAGGUUGAUAGGUCUGAGGUGGAAGUGUGGCGACACAUGGAGCUGACAGAUACUAAUCGAUCGAGGACUUAACCAC
rnacentral:rRNA from 1 species